UUACGGCCAUAUCACGCUGAAACACCGGUUCCCGUACGAUCACCGAAGUUAAACAACGUCAAGCCUGGUCAGUACCUCGAUGGGUGACCGCUUGGGGAUACUAGUUGGUGUAA